AAGUCGUAACAAGGUUUCCGUAGGUGAACCUGCGGAAGGAUCAUUAUCUGUUUUAAUGGUGUUGGUCGCGGCCCCGGCGGAAGUGUCCCCGGGCGGUAGAGGUAACACUCUCACGCGGCCACAUGCCUUCAUCCUUUUUUUACGAUGCACCUUUCGUUCUCCUUCGGUGGGGCAACCUGCCGUUGGAACCUAUCAAAACCUUUUUUUGCAUUUAGCAUUACCUGUUCCGAUACAAACAAUCGUUACAA
rnacentral:misc_RNA from 1 species